AUAAUGGGUCAGCGACUUAUAUUCUGUAGCAAGGUUAACCGAAUAGGGGAGCCGAAGGGAAACCGAGUCUUAACUGGGCGUUAAGUUGCAGGGUAUAGACCCGAAACCCGGUGAUCUAGCCAUGGGCAGGUUGAAGGUUGGGUAACACUAACUGGAGGACCGAACCGACUAAUGUUGAAAAAUUAGCGGAUGACUUGUGGCUGGGGGUGAAAGGCCAAUCAAACCGGGAGAUAGCUGGUUCUCCCCGAAAGCUAUUUAGGUAGCGCCUCGUGAAUUCAUCUCCGGGGGUAGAGCACUGUUUCGGCAAGGGGGUCAUCCCGACUUACCAACCCGAUGCAAACUGCGAAUACCGGAGAAUGUUAUCACGGGAGACACACGGCGGGUGCUAACGUCCGUCGUGAAGAGGGAAACAACCCAGACCGCCAGCUAAGGUCCCAAAGUCAUGGUUAAGUGGGAAACGAUGUGGGAAGGCCCAGACAGCCAGGAUGUUGGCUUAGAAGCAGCCAUCAUUUAAAGAAAGCGUAAUAGCUCACUGGUCGAGUCGGCCUGCGCGGAAGAUGUAACGGGGCUAAACCAUGCACCGAAGCUGCGGCAGCGACGCUGAUGCGUUGUUGGGUAGGGGAGCGUUCUGUAAGCCUGUGAAGGUGUGCUGUGAGGCAUGCUGGAGGUAUCAGAAGUGCGAAUGCUGACAUAAGUAACGAUAAAGCGGGUGAAAAGCCCGCUCGCCGGAAGACCAAGGGUUCCUGUCCAACGUUAAUCGGGGCAGGGUGAGUCGACCCCUAAGGCGAGGCCGAAAGGCGUAGUCGAUGGGAAACAGGUUAAUAUUCCUGUACUUGGUGUUACUGCGAAGGGGGGACGGAGAAGGCUAUGUUGGCCGGGCGACGGUUGUCCCGGUUUAAGCGUGUAGGCUGGUUUUCCAGGCAAAUCCGGAAAAUCAAGGCUGAGGCGUGAUGACGAGGCACUACGGUGCUGAAGCAACAAAUGCCCUGCUUCCAGGAAAAGCCUCUAAGCAUCAGGUAACAUCAAAUCGUACCCCAAACCGACACAGGUGGUCAGGUAGAGAAUACCAAGGCGCUUGAGAGAACUCGGGUGAAGGAACUAGGCAAAAUGGUGCCGUAACUUCGGGAGAAGGCACGCUGAUAUGUAGGUGAAGUCCCUCGCGGAUGGAGCUGAAAUCAGUCGAAGAUACCAGCUGGCUGCAACUGUUUAUUAAAAACACAGCACUGUGCAAACACGAAAGUGGACGUAUACGGUGUGACGCCUGCCCGGUGCCGGAAGGUUAAUUGAUGGGGUCAGCGCAAGCGAAGCUCUUGAUCGAAGCCCCGGUAAA
rnacentral:rRNA from 1 species